CAUAAAGAUACCAGGACAAGUAGCUGAGCCUUUUUAACUGGUGGGUUUGCCUCCAGAACCAACCUGCAGCAUCUCAGGCAUGUCUGGCGUGUUCCUGGCCCGAGGCUGCUCUGCGUGCUGGGAUGGAGCUGCCACAGGCCUCUCGUCCACCUCAGCCCACCCACCCCCUCACUGCUGCUGCUGGACCAGGGUGGGCUACCGUCCUCUGAGGCCGUGUGACAGGGAACUGGUG
rnacentral:lncRNA from 1 species